rnacentral:tRNA from 1 species
CAGUAAAUAGUUUAUUAAAAAUUUUAAUUUUGGAGAUUAAAGAUGAGUUAAGUUACUCUUUACUGA